CAUUCUGAGGGGCUGGGGUAGGGAAAGCUCUUCAAGUGCGAAUUUCCCCAUUUUAGGCCUCUCUCCUGGCCCCCGGCACAUUUUUUUACCUUUUUCUUCUUCUGUAAACUUCCUGCCAGUGACUAUCUUCCGUAAGAACCUCCUGAAUCUACUGCACAUCUGGAAAGAGCAGCAAAAGUAAACCAGUUUUCAUCUUAAGGAAUCACAAGCAAAGAGAAUCACUAUAAUCAUGGUUGCUUGAAAGAAGAAAAGUCUUUACAUUUAAAUUCUAGCAAAGAUGAAGGAUUAUUAAAGCAUCACAUUUGGAAAAUGAGAAAUUGAAGGCUCCUUGUUUUUUUCUGCUUUCAUUUCAAGAGAAUGACUUUUAGCAAUUAUCAGCUAUACCCAGGCUACUCUCAAUAAUACCACACAACAUGAGAAUGAUAGCAACUCUGAUGAAGAAGGUGUAAAAGAAAAUAGAACUUCACUUCUGCAAAUCGAUUCUGCAGUUUUCCAAUUUCCCUGUUCAGUACUGGUUGGGGCUGUGAAAUUGACCAGGGCUAUAUAAAAUGAAAGUAAAGAGAGAAUACUUGAAACUCGUACCUUUUAGCAAAUGACAAUCUUAUAUAUUUAUCCUUCUCAGCCUACAGCUACAACCUUCUUGAUAUUUUCAACGUGACUUUUUUUCUUGCUAAAAAUUUCUACAUUGGCUAGAUA